UUCCGGUUGAUCCUGCCGGACCCCACUGCUAUCGAGGUGGGACUUAGCCAUGCUAGUCGAACGAACAGAACUAUGUCUGUAAGUGGCAUACUGCUCAGUAACACGUAGCUAACCUACCCUUAGGACGUCGAUAACCCCGAGAAAUUGGGGCUAAUAGGCGAUAGAUGUAUUGUCCUGGAAUGGUAAUAUGUCCAAAGGUAUCCCAUACAUGUUUGGUAUACGCCUAAGGAUGGGGCUGCGGCCGAUCAGGCUGUUGGUGAGGUAAUGGCUCACCAAACCUUUGACCGGUAUGGGCCAUGAGAGUGGUAGCCCAGAGAUGGACACUGAGACAAGGGUCCAGGCCCUACGGGGCGCAGCAGGCGCGAAACCUCCUCAAUGCACUAACGUGCGAAGGGGUUACCUCGAGUGCCACCUGAAGAAGGUGGCUUUUCCUUGGUCUAAAAAGCCUAGGGAAUAAGAGGGGGGCAAGACUGGUGUCAGCCGCCGCGGUAACACCAGCCCCUCGAGUGGUGGGGAUGAUUAUUUGGCCUAAAGCGUCCGUAGCCGGCCGGGUAAGUUUCCCGUUAAAUCCAGCGUCUCAAGCGUUGGACUGCGGGAAAUACUGCCUGGCUAGAGAGUGGGAGAGGUCAGCGGUAUUCUGGGGGUAGGGGCGAAAUCCUUUGAUCCCCGGAGGACCACCAGUGGCGAAGGCUGCUGACUAGAACACGUCUGACGGUCAGGGACGAAAGCUGGGGUAGCGAACCGGAUUAGAUACCCGGGUAGUCCCAGCCGUAAACGAUGCAUGCUAGGUGUUGGGUUGGCCACGAGCCACCCCAGU
rnacentral:rRNA from 1 species